UACGGGGGGGGCAAGCGUUGUUCGGAAUUACUGGGCGUAAAGGGCUCGUAGGUGGCCACCUAAGUCAGACGUGAAAUCCCUCGGCUUAACCGGGGAACUGCGUCUGAUACUGGAUGGCUUGAGUUUGGGAGAGGGACGCGGAAUUCCAGGUGUAGCGGUGAAAUGCGUAGAUAUCUGGAGGAACACCGGUGGCGAAGGCGGGUCUCUGGGCAUCUCCUGACGCUGAGGCGCGAAAGCGUGGGGAGCAAACGGG
rnacentral:rRNA from 1 species